rnacentral:lncRNA from 1 species
UCUACCUUUUAUCUUUCACAAUUUCAAGGCCUUCACAGAAUUUGUAUUCGUAUUUGCCUUUAGACCUGGUAAGUGUUGCCAAUUAGUUUUAUUUAGAAUGCUUUCGAGGUCCUUAUUGAGCCAUGGUUGAAUUAGUUUUAGGUGAAAUCAGAGCCAUGUAUUCAUAUCUUGAGCUACCCAUUGUCAGCUUUUAAAGGAAGUAGUGUUAUUCUUUUUAUCUUAUACAUUUUUUUAACAAAAUUUGUGUAUACGCGUCAGUGUGUGUUCCCAUUUCUUCAAAUUGGUCGGAAUUUGGCUCAAUCUUCAAGCGAAGUGUAAAAUUAAGCAAAAUAUUAGGACAUAUAUAUGCGUAUUAUCUAUUUGUAUGCAUAUAUGUAUAGGGGUAUGGUCGAAGAGAAUGGGUUUGGAGGACCUUAAAUUUGCCUUUAUUCCUGUGGGCUCAAGUUGGUGGGAAUGCCCCAGUCGUUGAAUCAUGUGAUCUUGGUUUUCUUGCCUAAUGUAUUUUGUUGUCUAUGGAAAAAUUUAGAAUUGUCACCACCGAUUUUUGUGUAAACUGUAAAAAUUUUUGUGGGUUUCGAGAUAUCUUUGUCUGUAUUGGAUGGGUUUUUCCUUGCUUAUAUUAAAGGCAAAUAGUCACCGAAGAAUCGUGAAAUUUUCCUUAUUUUCAACCACAAAAAGGGAAGAAGGUGUAGCAAAUGGAUGAGUUUCAAUUAAUUUGGCGCUCACAUUUUGUUAAUGAUUUUGAUAAAGAUGACUUUGAGGCCUCAUUUAAUGUUCUUAAGAUUACAGAUGUCAUCUCAUUGAAAAUGAGGAAGUCGUGACCAUGGCACAUGGGUUUAGUAAGUAGGCAAUGGUUGUUGCUUUUUACAUAUUUUUGGUUUGAAAUUAGAGCUAUUAGGCUAUCAUUUGGUGUAUUCUUGUAUUAUCUCUUCAUUUAUUAUUAUUAUUAUUAUUUUGGGGUAAUUUCGUAUAACUGCUUCUUUGAUGAUCUACAGUAAAUUAUUACAAUUACCUGCAAUUUUGAACAAAGAUUAACGUUCAAGAACCAUGGAUCUUGACUAUGGGAGUUGCUGGGGCACUUCAAAGAUUUUUAGUUCAUAGUUCUUGUUAUUUAUUUACAACAAUUAUGGGUCCAACUUGCCAUUAUAUGCAGUGUUUGUUAGUAAAGUGUACUUUACUUUAAAGUUUCCCUUGUACGUUCUUAUUUGGGCU